rnacentral:rRNA from 1 species
GUGGAUUAGAUACCCUAGUAGUCCACGCCGUAAACGAUGAAUACUAGGUGUCGGGGCACAAAAGUGCUUCGGUGCCGUCGCAAACGCAAUAAGUAUUCCACCUGGGGAGUACGUUCGCAAGAAUGAAACUCAAAGGAAUUGACGGGGACCCGCACAAGCGGUGGAGCAUGUGGUUUAAUUCGACGCAACGCGAAGAACCUUACCAAAUCUUGACAUCCCGAUGACCGGCGAGUAAAGUCGCCUUUUCUUCGGAACAUCGGUGACAGGUGGUGCACGGCCGUCGCCCGCU